rnacentral:rRNA from 1 species
GAUGAACGCUGGCGGCGUGCCUAAUACAUGCAAGUCGAGCGAACAGAUAAGGAGCUUGCUCCUUUGACGUUAGCGGCGGACGGGUGAGUAACACGUGGGUAACCUACCUAUAAGACUGGGAUAACUUCGGGAAACCGGAGCUAAUACCGGAUAACAUUUGGAACCGCAUGGUUCUAAAGUGAAAGAUGGUUUUGCUAUCACUUAUAGAUGGACCCGCGCCGUAUUAGCUAGUUGGUAAGGUAACGGCUUACCAAGGCGACGAUACGUAGCCGACCCGAGAGGGUGAUCGGCCACACUGGAACUGAGACACGGUCCAGACUCCUACGGGAGGCAGCAGUAGGGAAUCUUCCGCAAUGGGCGAAAGCCUGACGGAGCAACGCCGCGUGAGUGAUGAAGGGUUUCGGCUCGUAAAACUCUGUUAUUAGGGAAGAACAAAUGUGUAAGUAACUGUGCACGUCUUGACGGUACCUAAUCAGAAAGCCACGGCUAACUACGUG